CGCGUAGGCGGUGCGGUAAGUCUAUGGUGAAAUCUCCGGGCUCAACUCGGAGCCUGCCACGGAAACUGCCGUGCUUGAGUGUGGGAGAGGUGAGUGGAAUUCCCGGUGUAGCGGUGAAAUGUGUAGAUAUCGGGAGGAACACCUGUGGCGAAAGCGGCUCACUGGACCACAACUGACGCUGAGGCGCGAAAGCUAGGGGAGCAAACA
rnacentral:rRNA from 1 species